rnacentral:misc_RNA from 1 species
AAGUCGUAACAAGGUUUCCGUAGGUGAACCUGCGGAAGGAUCAUUAACAAAUUCAAAACAUUCGUCUUGGGGGUUGUUCGGUUGGUCAUCUUCUUUUGAGGACCGAUCAACCGGCCGACCUCUCAUUGACAAAUAAACACUUACAUUUAUGAUUGACAACAAAUGGAGAACCAACAUGGCAUCAUCCAUACAUACUUUUUGUAUGUGUGUGUGUGACAUGUGUCUUUUUAAAAGCAAAUACAACUUUUAACAAUGGAUCUCUUGGCUCUU